AAUCAACGCUGGCGGCGUGCCUAACACAUGCAAGUCGAACGCGAGAGAGGCUUCGGCCUCGAUUGAGUGGCGAACGGGUGAGUAACACGUGGGUGACCUACCUUCGAGUGGGGGAUAACGUCCCGAAAGGGACGCUAAUACCGCAUAACAUCCUGCCUUUGAACAGGCGGAGAUCAAAGCCGGGGAUCGUAAGACCUGGCGCUUGAUGAGGGGCCCGCGUCCGAUUAGCUAGNGGUGGGGUAAGUGGCUCACCAAGGCGACGAUCGGUAACCGGCCUGAGAGGGCGGGACGGUCACACUGGGACUGAGACACGGCCCACGACUCCUACGGGAGGCAGCAGUGGGGAAUUGUUCGCAAUGGGCGCAAGCCUGACGACGCAACGCCGCGUGGAGGAUGAAGGUCUUCGGAUUGUAAACUCCUGUUGCCCGGGACGAAAGACUUAGACCUAAUACGUCUGAGUCUGAC
rnacentral:rRNA from 1 species